GAAACGAAUUCUCCCCUGAGGGCGUUUCCCUGCCGGGGAGUGAGGCUGGGGGCACAGUGGCACCCACAGAAGAUGUUCUCUUCCCCCUGGGCAGGACUCAGCCCAGCAGCAGCAGCAGCCCGGAAGAGGAAGCGCCGCGGCCGUGUGGAGCACUCUUCAGCUGUUGGGAAGCAGAGGUGGAGCUGGUCCCUGUGCACCGGGCAGCUGGCGGCGCCCCCUCCCUUCCCCGGCCAGCAUCGCGCGGGGGAGGAGCGCGCCGGGGCGGGGUGAGCUGAGGAGGGUGCAGAUGGACGCGGACAGAAGUGUGACGCCUGACAACAUGGCCAUGAGAACGGGGGAAAGUAGCUGCCCCACCAAAGGCAAGUCAGAGGCUGAAGAUGGCUCUGGUCGGGUGAUCACCAUUGUCUUCGUGGCACUCCUUAUAGACCUGCUGGGAUUCACUCUUAUUUUGCCACUCCUUCCUUCAAUCCUUGAGUAUUACAGCAAGAAUGAUGAUGGUUUCUAUCUAUCACUGCAGCAUGGUGUGGACUGGUUUGCUGCAGUGUUUGGGGUACCUCUGGAGAGGAAGUACAACACUGUCUUGUUUGGAGGUCUGAUUGGCUCCAUCUUUUCCAUCCUGCAGUUUUUUUCCUCUCCGCUCACGGGCGCUGCAUCUGACUGCUUGGGGAGAAGGCCGAUCAUGUUGUUGACAGUGGUGGGGUUGAUAGCAUCGUAUGCACUCUGGGCUAUCUCUAGGAGUUUUGGUAUUUUUCUUCUCUCCAGAGUCCUAGGUGGAAUAAGUAAAGGGAAUGUCAGCCUGUCUACUGCUAUAAUUGCUGACCUGCACUCUCCAAAAGCGAGGAGCAAGGGCAUGGCAAUGAUUGGUGUUGCUUUCUCACUUGGAUUUACCGUGGGUCCUAUGAUUGGAGCUUACCUUGCCAUGGAAACAGGGAAAGGAGAAGUCUUCUAUCUUCGGUCAGCUUUGCUUGCGCUCAUGUUUGCUGUUGCUGACUUAAUUUUCAUCUUCUUCCUGCUUCCGGAGACACUCCCCAAAGAAAAACGGGUAUCCUCCAUGAUGUGUGGAUUUCAGGCAGGGAGUGACUUGCUUAGUCCGCUGGCUUUGUUUCAGUUCUCUGCAGUCACCAGAGGAAAGAACUCACCUUCGAGGGAGAACCUUCAGAAUCUCAAGGUCCUGGGCCUAGUUUAUUUCCUUUAUCUCUUCCUGUUUUCUGGUCUUGAAUACACAUUGAGUUUUCUCACCCAUCAGCGAUUCCAGUUCAGCAGUAUGCAGCAGGGCAAGAUGUUUUUCUUUAUUGGGAUGACAAUGGCUGUGAUCCAGGGAGGCUACACUCGCCGAAUCAGACCAGGAUGUGAAAUCAAAGCCGUAAAAAGGGCUAUAAUGCUGCUGAUUCCAGCUUUCUUGUUAAUUGGAUGGGCUGGUAAUGUGACGGUGCUGAGUGCUGGACUGUUGCUCUAUUCUUUCGCCGCUGCCAUUGUUGUUCCUUGUUUGUCAGCAGUGGUGUCAGGCUAUGGCUCAGCCAGCCAGAAGGGAACAGUAAUGGGAAUUCUGAGGAGCCUGGGGUCCCUAGCACGAGCUCUGGGACCAAUCUUGUCAGCAGCAGCUGCAGUGUCAAUGUCCAGGGAGGUCUAACAGGCCCAGAGUAGGAGGCAGAGGCGCCUUGGGUCUAAGCCUGGCUCUGACAGAUUCCGCCCAGCCAGUGUUUAAAUGCACAGAAAAGUUUUUUUUAUGUAAAUUUAUUGGCUGGCAGGAGCUGAGGUUUGCUUCACUGUUUGUGCAGUUUUGUUCCUGCUUCCCCUCAUUCUUCUUGGUUACAUAAAGCAGCAAACAAAGGAGGAAUAACCAAAGAGAGGAGCAACAUUAUGACUUUUACAGAACUACUCAUUUUCCAAGGGACUUCUAAAGUGGUGGAGAGUCAGAUGUCAAGAAGCGACUUAAAAUGGAACACUGUGUUCUGAUUUACUGGAAGGCCAACUCAAAUUCCACUCACCAGCAUAUACACCAUUGUGACAAAAUUGAUUUUUCUUACACACCCUAAUCCUCAAGGAGAUGGAAACCCAGUUUGACUAGCUUUGAGAUCAGAAGUAUCUGACUCAAAUGCGUGUCGUUCAGCAAGUUGUAUUCCUGCUACAUAAAAUGGUGAGAUCAUGCCAGCUACAUGGGCAGAAAAAGGUUGAAUUCAACAAGCUGAGACUCACUCCACAACAGAAUUUCAUGCUUAAAUUAACUACAGUUCCCAACCAGAGGCACCAUGUAAAAUGCCAUAAUUUCUCACAGAAUCAUGUGCACAAUAUAAUGGUUUUUACAUAUCCUUCCUGUGCCCAUUUCAUUUCAAUCACUGGCUGCUCAUUCUGGUGCUCACACAGAACAUGGAUUAGCAGAGUUUUCAGGCAGCUACAUAAUGGGGAAAUUGAUCAAGACCCAGCCACCUGAAUUGGUUCAUGGUGAGAAAAUACAACCACUCCCCUAUUGUGUGAGGGUCAUAUUGAGAUUAUUUUGCCAAACCAUUUGCACAUCCCCUUUCAGUUAGUGGCAGGUCUCUUUGGUUAAAUUUGUAUCUAGUGCCUUAAGCUGGUGUGGUUUUUUUUUGGUUGUUUUUUGGGGGGGUUGGUAUCCUGAGUUUCGUAUGACCUGUGAGAGAGCCUUCUAUCAAUCUUGACUCUAUUCCUACUGUUCUGCCAAGGGAUCAUAAAUGAACAAGUGGCCUGUGAUAUACAAUAUAAUUGGGAAAGUGUUUUAGCUACAUUUUAUACUCCUAAUAUUUUGUGUAACAGGUUUUUCAGUACUGAGCAUUUAUCAAAUAUUUGUAUUUUGCACUACAAAGAGUUAAUUGCAAACUGGUCUACUGCAGUUAGUGUGGUUAGUAAGAUGCCCUGUAAUAACAUGCAUAUUUUCAGAUUGUCCUUUUGUUAGUCAGUCAUUGGCCUACCUAAAGCUCUGACUGCACUUCUGCUUAGGAAUGUGGGGGGGAGGGGGGAAGAAGAAGCAGGGUCUUCCUGUAUUCAACUUCUCGUUGGCAUGCAAUAUGCCAAGGCCUUUAAUAAAGGAGAAGUGAGACCUUUUUGUUUCAAUCAGUGUCUUCUUAACUCACAGGUCAUAGUCUGUUGCUUAGGUGACCCCAAAAGGUUUAAUUAGGGCUUCUUUCUACUGCAAAAUUAUACUCUUUGACCGCUAUUGUAAAGAACCCAAUUAACUGGCACACUGCCGACCAUAAUUUGCCCUUGUCUACAUGGGCUUCCGUGUUAUGGUGAGCAGCAUGUUCGUUAACCUGAUUGUUCAAACAAGGAAAAACUUUGUAGUAUAGACCAACCCCAUCCAUUUGGAAAGUAACUAGAGGUUCAGAAAGUUUGUCUGCUCCCUUCUUGGUUUCUCCAUGUGCCAUCUCUCAAUCAGUGCAAUCAGAGCCAUCCACUAAUAGGACUUUGUCAUCUCCUGCUAGUCUUGCACUGCAGAGAAUUUUUUUUUUAAACACUGCUAGGGAGUGACAGUAGAGAAGCUCACUCCUAAAGGAUAUCAAAGUAGAAAACCCUGGGAGACAGGGAAGUGCCUGGGUGGAGGUGGUGUACUCAUUUGUACCUUACAGAGUUGGGUUUAUUAGGCUCUUGUUUCGCCUCACCCAACUCAUGGGAAGAGUGGGAUUGCUUUAAGCAUGGGAGUGGGAAAGUAAAGACCUAAUUCUGUAUCAGUGGAGUAGUUUCCACUCCCUCUUGCACAUCACUGUGCAGUCAGCUUGGCUUUAACACAUAAAUUAGUGAAAAACAUUGUUAGACAGUUGAUCUGGUAAUUAACAUAACAUGUAUCUUUCAUUCUGAAGGAAACUGAAUCACUUCAGACUGCACAUAGAAAGAUCCCUGGACUACAGACACCAGGGAGAAGACUGCCAGCUAGUCUACUUCCUUAGCACUACACAACCAUUUUUAGUAGGGGAAUGUGAAGACUAGCUUGGCCAGUGGAAGCAAGGGAACAUGUAGAUUGGGUAACAUAGCAGAACUAACAUCCCUACUCCGUGUUAUGGAAAUUUUGACUACCAUAACUAGUGAAGGCCAGUCUUUCUUCAAUAAGAGUAUCUUCAGAAACACACUGACCCAUAGCGGGGCACUGGUUCAAUACAGUUUCAGAGGAAAGAGUGCCACCUACACUACAACCUGAGUUUUCCUCAACUGUCUCCCAUCCAAGGCCUGACGGUGCUUAGCUUGACUUCUGACAAGAUCAUAGACUGAGGUGGUGCUAUUGCAGACAUAAAACUUGAACCUGUAAAUGAAUAAUAUGUGAACCCAAAUCAAUAUAAUAAAGGCCUCAAACACACAUUGCACCUGCUCAAGGAACAGAACGUUGGGUACCAAAAUGAAUCUUUUGGUAGGUUUUACACCCUUAUGUAAUAUAGGAAACCAAAGUUCAUGUGUGUUUUAAGACUCACUUUUAUUAAAGGUCUCAAUUUGAGCUUUAUCAUUUCCUAUUAUGCAGGUUUUAUUCCUUAAAAAAAAAAAGCCACAGAAAAAAAGUUUCUGCAGCUUCUCAUUUGUCCCAAAAUUGUAUUUUGUAUUCCUAGAGCCUUGGUUAAAAACAAAAUUAGUGACUUUCACUAAAAUAGUAUUCCAGGUAAAGCCUCAAGAAUGAUUGAUAAAGGCAGAGCGUUUUCCCCCUGCCUUGGGGGAAAAAAACAAAUUCUAAAGGACAUGAUAUUAUGUUGCUUGUGAAUCUACUCAGAAAGUAGAAAAUGUAAAUUUACAAGAGUGAAAAGCCGCUGUGCGCUCCCCAUGGUAUUUCAGCAAACUAAGUGGCAUUUGUUCAGAGAUUUCAAACCCCUAAACUACUGCAUAUAGUCUGAGCAUGAACUUAAUAUAAAGAAUGAACCAAGCAGUGAUCCCCUGCUUCAUGAAUUAGACUGCAAAUUAGAAUUCUUAGCUUUUUCACCUGAGCACAUAUUCCACCCUAGCUUUAAGGACAACAGGUUAAUGAACAAGGUUAAUAUAGUAGGUUGUUAGAGAAGGCAGAAUUAUGUUAACCUGGAAGUGACUAGUGAUCCUCCUGUUGCUCUCUCAGCUACAGCAAAUCCUCCAGAAGGACACUUACUGCAACACGAAAGCGGCUUUUUGUAUUCUGUCUACAUGUUCCCUCAAUUAAAGUUCAGACACUGUUCCCUUUUAAUGCCUGUCUCUGCUGCUUACUAUUACCUGCCCCAUUCAGGGUCUCUGGCCAGAACAUUAGACAUCACAGUCGGGUCUGGAACUUUAACAGCAACCAGUUUACUAUAAACAAAAUCCUAGGUACUUUUCUCAAGACAUUUUUUUACCCAUUAAAUUAAAAUGGUUUGGGCAUUAUUCCCUAAGAGAUUCUGGAAAUUAAAACUGUACAACAGCUUUCAAAACAGAGGAAAAAACCUUACUCUUUUAAAGAAGAAUUUUAUUUGAGUAAAACUUGAUACAACAAAGAAAGAAAAAUACAUGACUGUUUUUUCCCCCCACCGUGUGUAACCAUACUGUACACAGCUGGAUUUCAUAGUGUAAUACAAAGAAUUGAAAGAACAAACUACAAAAUUAGAAUCAAAAUCAUUGCAUAUGUGGUCAAAGAUAAAAGGGAGGACUCCAUUAUUAACUGAAACAUGUAGCAAUGGCUUAGUAACGUAAUUAUGACCCUGGCAAUAAAACACAAUUUAGCAAAGUAAGAUAAGUACUGUAUGCUCCCUAGUAUACAGAGGACAUAGAAGGUUAGAAUACAAGCUCAAAGCCAUUAGCGCCAUGCAGUCCUUACUAGACAUUAUUGUUUAGGUGUCACUCUUAAGCAGUGAUUUGCUGUUGCAUCUAAUUCCACCCUACCUCUAUGUAUUCCAAAAGAGAAGUCAGAUUUGUGGUGUGUUAAUUACUGACACUAAACCUUUUCCUCCUCACCUGACAGUGCUAUUGUCAUAUCUUGUAAUUUUGUUUUCCUUUUACCACUUGAAUUUGGUCCAAGUUUUCAAUGCAUCUGAGGGCCUAAUAUAGGCUUUAUUUUUGCACUAUAGCUGAACCUGUUCUAUUCAAUGCUUUCAUACUGCACAAAUUGCAAGGGAUUCACUGUCUGCUAUUUUUCUCACUAUAAAACAGGUAUUUUAUAUACUCUUAUAGGAUACAUCCAUUACUGAAUUUCAUUUUAGUUAUAGUCAUUGCAUGUAAGCCAACUUUUUUUCCCCAAGGAGAAAUCUUUGAAUGUUUUCUGCUGUUACAAAUAGAAAUGUGUCAUUUGAACACUGACAUUUGGAACAUCUCGGUUUAUAGCUGGGGUGAAUUCAUUAAGGUUUCUGGAAAGUUCACGAUGGUAACAAAUGAAGAUGUUUUGGCUUUCAAAAAGAUCAUUUGAAGGUGGAUCUCUGUGUGUGCUCAGUGAAGAGAGAGAAUCAUGAUCGUAACUAGAAGAGGAUGGCAAAUAAAAGGUGAAAGUGAUUUUCCUGACUUUGCUACAUGCUAAAUGCUUAUGGAAAACCUGUAGUAAAUGCACCUCUAAGGACUCUGGGAGGGAUUUCUGUUCCCGACUUAACUACUGCUGGCAACACAAAGCAAGAAAUACAAGCUACAGUAAGUGAAAAGAAAAAGAGUUAAUAUAAAAACAUAUGUUAAGUGUUCAGUGUAAUGUGUUUACAUUUUUAUUAGGGGAGGGAGUGAAGAUACCAGCCUGCAAAUGUGGCUUAUAUGUAACAGAUUUGCAUCUGCACCCAGGGAAGUUUUAUCAAAACAAUGAAAUAUGCACCGAAGACCCAAUCCAAAACUGUCCAUGCCCUAGAUCACCAAUUAAAAGUGUCCCAAAAGUCUAACAUACAAUUGUUUUCAACCUGUAUCUAAAGACCAAACUGCUAUGCAAGUGAUUUCUGAUGGUCUCUGAUUUUGGUUGGGGAAGAGGGCCGUAAGAUAGAUUUCACAAUAUUGCAUUUAUUAGAAAAGUUGAAUGCACAGUAUCAGCAGGAAACACCAUCACCAGUUCAGUCCUCUUAGACAUCACAAGGUUAAGUUUAAGUUCCAGCUAUAUCACAAAACA